rnacentral:rRNA from 1 species
AGUGAACGCUGGCGGUAGGCCUAACACAUGCAAGUCGAACGGCAGCACAGUAAGAGCUUGCUCUUACGGGUGGCGAGUGGCGGACGGGUGAGGAAUACAUCGGAAUCUACUUUUUCGUGGGGGAUAACGUAGGGAAACUUAAGCUCAUACCGCAUACGACCUACGGGUGAAAGCAGGGGAUCUUCGGACCUUGCGCGAUUGAAUGAGCCGAUGUCGGAUUAGCUAGUUGGCGGGGUAAAGGCCCACCAAGGCGACGAUCCGUAGCUGGUCUGAGAGGAUGAUCGGCCACACUGGAACUGAGACACGGUCCAGACUCCUACGGGAGGCAGCAGUGGGGAAUAUUGGACAAUGGGCGCAAGCCUGAUCCAGCCAUACCGCGUGGGUGAAGAAGGCCUUCGGGUUGUAAAGCCCUUUUGUUGGGAAAGAAAAGCAGCAGGUUAAUACCCCGCUGUUCUGACGGUACCCAAAGAAUAAGCACCGGCUAACUUCGUG